UACGGGGGGAGCAAGCGUUGUUCGGAUUUACUGGGCGUAAAGGGCGCGUAGGCGGUCAGCACAAGUCAGUUGUGAAAUCUCCGAGCUUAACUCGGAAAGGUCAACUGAUACUGUGCGACUAGAGUGCAGAAGGGGCAACUGGAAUUCUUGGUGUAGCGGUGAAAUUCGUAGAUAUUCGCAAGAACACCAGUGGCGAAGGCGGCUUACUGGUCCGGUUCUGACGCUGAGGCGCGAAAAGCGUGGGGAGCAAACAGG
rnacentral:rRNA from 1 species